NNNNGGCGUGCCUAACACACGCAAGUCGAACGGGAAGGAGGGCUUCGGCUCUCCGGAGAGUGGCGCACGGGUGAGUAACACGUGGGUAAUCUGCCUUUGGGUGGGGAAUAACGAUCCGAAAGGGUCGCUAAUACCGCAUAACGCAGCGGCACCGCAUGGUGACAGUUGUUAAAGGGGGGGAUCGAAAGACCUCUCGCCUGAAGAGGAGCCCGCGCCCGAUUAGCUUGUUGGUGAGGUAAUGGCUCACCAAGGCUUCGAUCGGUAGCCGGCCUGAGUGGGCGGUCGGCCACACUGGCACUGAGACACGGGCCAGACUCCUACGGGAGGCAGCAGUGGGGAAUUUUGGGCAAUGGGCGAAAGCCUGACCCAGCAACGCCGCGUGAAGGACGAAAUCCCUCUGGGAUGUAAACUUC
rnacentral:rRNA from 1 species